UUAUGACUCUCGGCAACAGAUAUCCAGGCUCUCGCAUCGAUGAAGAACGCAGCGAAAUGCGAUACUUUGUGUGAAUUGCAGAAUCUAGUGAACCAUCGAGUCUUUGAAUACAAGUUGCGCCCAAGGCCAUCCGGUCGAGGGAAAGCAUGUCUGGGCAUCACGCC
rnacentral:rRNA from 1 species